CGUCUCAGUUCGGAUCGCAGGCUGCAACCCGCCUGCGUGAAGUCGGAAUCGCUAGUAAUCGCGGAUCAGCAUGCCGCGGUGAAUACGUUCCCGGGCCUUGUACACACCGCCCGUCACACCAUGAGAGUCGGGAACACCCGAAGUCCGUAGCCUAACUAGCAAUAGAGGGCGCGGCCGAAGGUGGGUUCGAUAAUUGGGGUGAAGUCGUAACAAGGUAGC
rnacentral:rRNA from 1 species